UUAUUACCCACUUGGGUGAAAAGAGAAGACAGGAAAUAAAUAUUGGAGUCGGCUGGCAACCUGUUUACAAAGCAAUUUACAACAGUUCCUUAUUCUUAAGGGGUUAUUCUAAUGUAAGACCUCAGAGAAACAGUGCAGUGUGACAAAGGAGGAAUUUAUCAAAGGAGACAGAAAAAGCAUCAAGGCAAGCUGUGAAAUGGUGCAGUAGGAACCAAAUAGAGAGCCAAAGGAUCUCUCUGUCACUGCAGGCCCUUAGGGAAGAUCUUUCUGAAUCCUGACUCUGUCAUCCAGCAUGUUAGCUUUCUUCCCUACCCUUCACAUCUUCCAAGCAGCCUAGCUAUGUCCCUGUCCGCAUUGUUCAUAAAAAGGUCCAAGUGCAGAUUAGCUUCCUUCAAGAAGCUAGUUAAUUUUCUAGCUAAACCCAAGCUCAGAUGCCAUGUGGAUGUAGGGAGGCUGAAUGGCCCCCCAGCAGGCUGAAGGAUGCGUCUGCCGCAGUCUCUCUGAAACAUGGAGCUGGUUCCCCAUUGACACAGCUGUGAGCAUCUGCACGGAGUGAAGGGCUGGCUGGGCUGAGCGUACGGGCUGCCUUUUGCUACACCACAGCAUGCUUGUUUCUUAUAUCUAGUCAUCCGCAGAGACAGCUCCAAGCAAUUUUUUCUGGCUGGUUGUCCUUCCAGUGCCUGACAUGAGAAUCACAGCCUUGGCGAGAAAACAGCCGCUGCAGGGAGUGGUGGCCACAGUACUCUCGGUAUCCCUCCCCUGCGUCCACUUCCCACCACCCCUCGGAGGGGCCAGCACACACGACAGUGACCGGGGCAUGUGGCAAGAGCGUGUGAGAGAAUAUCUACCCU
rnacentral:antisense_RNA from 1 species